UCAUUGUGUAUCAUUGUGUAUUAUUAUGUAUCAUGGUGUAUUAUUGUGUAUCAUGGUGUAUCAUGGUGUAUCAUUGUGUAUCAUGGUGUAUUAUUAUGUAUCAUGGUGUAUUAUUAUGUCAGAUUAUGGAUAUAUUUAAUGAACAACGAAUCCAUCGGCUACGAAGCAGGCAGCAGUUGACUGGGUAGAGGGGAGAUUUGAUGUUAUCGUGGGAUGUAGGUUCUGCCUAUCAGAGUAUUAAGUGAAAUAUGAUCGGGCAGGCAAGUAAUGCAAGAAACGUC